CCUACGGGAGGCAGCAGUGGGGGAUAUUUCACAAUGGGGGGAACCCUGAUGCAGCGACGCCGCGUGGGUGAAGAAACGCCUCGGCGCGUACAGCCCUGUCAGCAGGGAAGAAAAUGACGGUACCUGACUAAGAAGCCCCGGCUAACUACGUGCCAGCAGCCGCGGUAAUACGUAGGGGGCAAGCGUUAUCCGGAUUUACUGGGUGUAAAGGGAGCGUAGACGGCGAUGCAAGUCUGAAGUGAAAGGCGGGGGCCCAACCCCCGGACUGCUUUGGAAACUGUAUGGCUGGAGUGCAGGAGAGGUAAGUGGAAUUCCUAGUGUAGCGGUGAAAUGCGUAGAUAUUAGGAGGAACACCAGUGGCGAAGGCGGCUUACUGGACUGUAACUGACGUUGAGGCUCGAAAGCGUGGGGAGCAAACAGGAUUAGAUACCCCGGUAGUC
rnacentral:rRNA from 1 species